rnacentral:lncRNA from 1 species
UCACUUUUAUUCCUCCUAUCUUCUCUUCUUUUUUUUUAAACUCCUUAUCUUGUGAGGAUAGGUGGGGCACGACACGGUGGCUCAAAUCAUCAGGAUGAGCGACGUAGAAAAGGAACUAACUGAGCUGGAGAAGAAGCAUGAAUUGGCCGAACCUUCAAAGAUUGAAGCCAAAUCAAGGACGAAAGCAGUAAACGCUAAGGUUGCCCGCUUGAAGGGCAAAUUAAAAGAAAUCAAAGCCGUAUUGGCUUCGAAGAAAAAAGAG